rnacentral:rRNA from 1 species
AGCAGCCGCGGUAAUUCCAGCUCCAAUAGCGUAUAUUAAAGUUGUUGCAGUUAAAAAGCUCGUAGUUGAAUUUCGGGAUCAGUUGGUCGGUCGUGCCUCGGUACGUACUGGUCAAAUUGAUUCCUACCUUCUGACGAACCACGAUGUCAUUAAUUUGGUGUCGCGGGAAAUCAGGACUGUUACUUUGAAAAAAUUAGAGUGUUUAAAGCAGGCUCGCGCUUGAAUACAUUAGCAUGGAAUAAUGAAAUAGGACGUUUGAUUCUAUUUUGUUGGUUUCUAGGAUCGACGUAAUGAUUAAUAGGGAUAGUUGGGGGCAUUAGUAUUCAAUUGUCAGAGGUGAAAUUCUUGGAUUUAUUGAAGACUAACUACUGCGAAAGCAUUUGCCAAGGAUGUUUUCAUUAAUCAAGAACGAAAGUUAGGGAUCGAAGACGAUCAGAUACCGUCGUAGUC